rnacentral:rRNA from 1 species
CCUACGGGGGGCAGCAGUGAGGAAUAUUGGUCAAUGGGCUUACGCCUGAACCAGCCAAGUCGCGUGAGGGAAGACUGCCCUAUGGGUUGUAAACUUCUUUUAUAAAGGAAUAAAACGAGGCACGUGUGCCUUUUUGCAUGUACUUUAUGAAUAAGGAUCGGCUAACUCCGUGCCAGCAGCCGCGGUAAUACGGAGGAUCCGAGCGUUAUCCGGAUUUAUUGGGUUUAAAGGGAGCGUAGAUGGGUUGUUAAGUCAGUUGUGAAAGUUUGCGGCUCAACCGUAAAAUUGCAAUUGAUACUGGCAGUCUUGAGUACAGUUGAGGUAGGCGGAAUUCGUGGUGUAGCGGUGAAAUGCUUAGAUAUCACGAAGAACCCCGAUUGCGAAGGCAGCUUACUAAACUGUGACUGACAUUGAUGCUCGAAAGUGUGGGUAUCAAACAGGAUUAGAUACCCCUGUAGUC